rnacentral:rRNA from 1 species
UGCGGCCUAGGGGCGAAGCCUGAUCCAGCAUGCCGCGUGAGUGAUGAAGGCCUUAGGGUUGUAAAGCUCUUUUACCCGGGAUGAUAAUGACAGUACCGGGAGAAUAAGCUCCGGCUAACUCCGUGCCAGCAGCCGCGGUAAUACGGAGGGAGCUAGC